AUGAGGAUUCAAGGAAUUUUUUAUGUAAGGAUGCAGUUUAAGGUAAACAUAGUCCUCGAUAGUAAAUACGAAUUUUUUACUGUCCUGUCAUAUUUUUACAUAAAAAAUUUUACUAUACUAUUCUCUUCACUCAAUAUUCUCAUACUUGUCAUAUUUUCAAAAAAAAAUUAUUUUUAUGACAAAGCAUCCGUCAAAUAA